rnacentral:rRNA from 1 species
AUCUACGGCCAUGCUACCCUGAACAAGCCCAAUCCCAUCUGAUCUUGGAAGCUAAACAGGGUCAGACCUGUUUAGUACUUGGAUGGGAGACCACCUAGGAAGACAAGGUGCUAUAGGUG